rnacentral:rRNA from 1 species
GACGAACGCUGGCGGCGUGCUUAACACAUGCAAGUCGAACGGAAAGGCCCUGCUUUUGUGGGGUGCUCGAGUGGCGAACGGGUGAGUAACACGUGAGUAACCUGCCCUUGACUUUGGGAUAACUUCAGGAAACUGGGGCUAAUACCGGAUAGGAGCUCCUGCUGCAUGGUGGGGGUUGGAAAGUUUCGGCGGUUGGGUAUGGACUCGCGGCUUAUCAGCUUGUUGGUGGGGUAGUGGCUUACCAAGGCUUUGACGGGUAGCCGGCCUGAGAGGGUGACCGGCCACAUUGGGACUGAGAUACGGCCCAGACUCCUACGGGAGGCAGCAGUGGGGAAUAUUGCACAAUGGGCGGAAGCCUGAUGCAGCAACGCCGCGUGCGGGAUGAAGGCCUUCGGGUUGUAAACCGCUUUCGCCUGUGACGAAGCGUGAGUGACGGUAAUGGGUAAAGAAGCACCGGCUAACUACGUG